GAUGAACGCUAGCGGCAGGCUUAAUACAUGCAAGUCGUGGGGCAGCAUGGUGUAGCAAUACACUGAUGGCGACCGGCAAACGGGUGCGGAACACGUACGCAACCUACCCAUAACUGAGGAAUAGCCCGGGGAAACCCGGAUUAAUACCUCGUAACAUAAUUGAAUGGCAUCAUUUAAUUAUUAUAGCUCCGGCGGUUUUGGAUGGGCGUGCGACUGAUUAGGUAGUUGGCGGGGUAACGGCCCACCAAGCCUACGAUCAGUAACUGGUGUGAGAGCACGACCAGUCACACGGGCACUGAGACACGGGCCCGACUCCUACGGGAGGCAGCAGUAAGGAAUAUUGGUCAAUGGACGCAAGUCUGAACCAGCCAUGCCGCGUGAAGGAUGAAGGUCCUCUGG
rnacentral:rRNA from 1 species